rnacentral:rRNA from 1 species
AGUGAACGCUGGCGGCGUGCUUAACACAUGCAAGUCGAACGCGAAAGUCCCGCAAGGGAUAAGUAGAGUGGCAGACGGGUGAGUAAUGCAUAGGUAAUCUACCCUUGAGUGGGGGAUAACUCCGGGAAACCGGUGCUAAUCCCGCAUAAUAUCCUGAUGCACAAGCAUCUGGAUCAAAAGGGGGGAUCUUUCGAGACCUCCUGCUUGGGGAUGAGCCUAUGUCCUAUUAGCUAGUUGGUGAGGUAAUGGCCCACCAAGGCUCUGAUGGGUAGCCGAGCUGAGAGGCUGAUCGGCCACACUGGAACUGAAACACGGUCCAGACUCCUACGGGAGGCAGCAGUGGGGAAUUUUGCGCAAUGGGCGAAAGCCUGACGCAGCGACGCCGCGUGAGGGAUGAAGGUCUUAGGAUCGUAAACCUCUGUCAGGAAGCAUUAAAUGUGCGGAUAUCAACACCAUCCGUACUUGACU